UAAAUGGAUGGUACUCAGAAUA
rnacentral:siRNA from 1 species